UUUUUGUUAUAUUGUCUGUGUGUAUGUGCUUAUGUUGUUUUUGGGCAUAAAGUAACUUUAUUUUGCAAAUGUUGUUCAUUCUGGAUUAUAUUGCAAAUGAUUUUGUUAUUAAUUAUUAUGUGACUUUUUUUUUUUGUUUUUUAAUUUGUAAUCAGAGGAAAACAGCGUGACAUUGGGGCUAUUUUUUAAUUUGCGGCAAAGCUGCAUUCCUCGCUGGAAAUCGACGACGACGACGACAUUCCUCACUAGAAAUCGACAACAGCACAACUCCAUUUCAGAAAGUAUGAUAGUGAUGGUUAUGAUGAUGAUGACGGUGGUGAUGAUGAUGAAUUUUGAUGCUAGUAUAUGAAACUCAAUCAACAUGGAGAUGGAUCAAAGAAAAAACACUUGUACCGAAAGUUUUGUUAUUAAUUAUUAUAUAUUUUUUUUCAUUUAA